rnacentral:lncRNA from 1 species
CCAACGACAUGUGUUCUCUCCAAUCCCUUACACAUUUAAAGAUUAAACAUUGUUACAACCUCACCUCUCUUCCCAACGACAUGUGUUCUCUCCAAUCCCUUACACAUUUAAAGAUUUCUUAUUGUCGAAACCUCACUACUCUUCCCAACGACGUGUGUUUUCUCCAAUCCCUUACACAUUUAAAGAUUUCUGAUUGUCGAAACCUCACCACUCUUUCCAACGACAUGGGUUGUUUCCAAUCCCUUACACAUUUAGAGAUUUCUUCUUUUGAAAACCUUACCUCUCUUUUCAACGACAUGAGUUUUCUCCAAUCCCUUACACAUUUAAAGAUUAAAGAUUUUGAAAACCUCACCUCUCUUCCCAACGACAUGGGUUGUCUCCAAUCCCUUACACAUUUAGAGAUUUCUUCUUUUGAAAACCUUACCUCUCUUCCCAACGACAUGAGUUCUCUCCAAUCCCUUAUACAUUUAAAGAUUAAAGAUUUUGAAAACCUCACCUCUCUUCCCAACGACAUGGGUUGUCUCCAAUCCCUUACACAUUUAGUGAUUGUUCAUUGUCAAAAUCUUACAUCUCUUCCCAACGACAUAUGUCGUCUCAAGUCCCUCACUACUUUAAC